rfam:Hordeum vulgare subsp. vulgare, WGS project CAJW01000000 data, contig: morex_contig_59115
CCGCGCUAUCUGAUGCGGAGAUUACCUCCAAAAUCCUUGUUAGUUUGGACCUGGAAUACAAUCCACUCGUAUCGGCGUUCACUGCUCGGUUGAAGCCUGUCACGGUUCAGGAGCUCUACAGCCAGCUCCUGAGCUUUGACGC